rnacentral:rRNA from 1 species
AAAUUGAAGAGUUUGAUCAUGGCUCAGAUUGAACGCUGGCGGCAGGCCUAACACAUGCAAGUCGAACGGUAACAGGAAGCAGCUUGCUGCUUCGCUGACGAGUGGCGGACGGGUGAGUAAUGUCUGGGAAACUGCCUGAUGGAGGGGGAUAACUACUGGAAACGGUGGCUAAUACCGCAUAACGUCGCAAGACCAAAGAGGGGGACCUUUGGGCCUCUUGCCAUCAGAUGUGCCCAGAUGGGAUUAGCUUGUUGGUGAGGUAACGGCUCACCAAGGCGACGAUCCCUAGCUGGUCUGAGAGGAUGACCAGCCACACUGGAACUGAGACACGGUCCAGACUCCUACGGGAGGCAGCAGUGGGGAAUAUUGCACAAUGGGCGCAAGCCUGAUGCAGCCAUGCCGCGUGUAUGAAGAAGGCCUUCGGGUUGUAAAGUACUUUCAGCGGGGAGGAAGGUGUUGUGGUUAAUAACCGCAGCAAUUGACGUUACCCGCAGAAGAAGCACCGGCUAACUCCGUGCCAGCAGCCGCGGUAAUACGGAGGGUGCAAGCGUUAAUCGGAAUUACUGGGCGUAAAGCGCACGCAGGCGGUCUGUCAAGUCGGAUGUGAAAUCCCCGGGCUCAACCUGGGAACUGCAUUCGAAACUGGCAGGCUUGAGUCUUGUAGAGGGGGGUAGAAUUCCAGGUGUAGCGGUGAAAUGCGUAGAGAUCUGGAGGAAUACCGGUGGCGAAGGCGGCCCCCUGGACAAAGACUGACGCUCAGGUGCGAAAGCGUGGGGAGCAAACAGGAUUAGAUACCCUGGUAGUCCACGCCGUAAACGAUGUCUACUUGGAGGUUGUGCCCUUGAGGCGUGGCUUCCGGAGCUAACGCGUUAAGUAGACCGCCUGGGGAGUACGGCCGCAAGGUUAAAACUCAAAUGAAUUGACGGGGGCCCGCACAAGCGGUGGAGCAUGUGGUUUAAUUCGAUGCAACGCGAAGAACCUUACCUGGUCUUGACAUCCACAGAAGAAUCCAGAGAUGGAUUUGUGCCUUCGGGAACUGUGAGACAGGUGCUGCAUGGCUGUCGUCAGCUCGUGUUGUGAAAUGUUGGGUUAAGUCCCGCAACGAGCGCAACCCUUAUCCUUUGUUGCCAGCGGUUAGGCCGGGAACUCAAAGGAGACUGCCAGUGAUAAACUGGAGGAAGGUGGGGAUGACGUCAAGUCAUCAUGGCCCUUACGACCAGGGCUACACACGUGCUACAAUGGCGCAUACAAAGAGAAGCGACCUCGCGAGAGCAAGCGGACCUCAUAAAGUGCGUCGUAGUCCGGAUUGGAGUCUGCAACUCGACUCCAUGAAGUCGGAAUCGCUAGUAAUCGUGGAUCAGAAUGCCACGGUGAAUACGUUCCCGGGCCUUGUACACACCGCCCGUCACACCAUGGGAGUGGGUUGCAAAAGAAGUAGGUAGCUUAACCUUCGGGAGGGCGCUUACCACUUUGUGAUUCAUGACUGGGGUGAAGUCGUAACAAGGUAACCGUAGGGGAACCUGCGGUUGGAUCACCUCCUUACCUUAAAGAA